rnacentral:rRNA from 1 species
GACGAACGCUGGCGGCGUGCUUAACACAUGCAAGUCGAACGGAAAGGCCCUGCUUUUGUGGGGUGCUCGAGUGGCGAACGGGUGAGUAACACGUGAGUAACCUGCCCUUGACUUUGGGAUAACUUCAGGAAACUGGGGCUAAUACCGGAUAGGAGCUCCUGCUGCAUGGUGGGGGUUGGAAAGUUUCGGCGGUUGGGGAUGGACUCGCGGCUUAUCAGCUUGUUGGUGGGGUAGUGGCUUACCAAGGCUUUGACGGGUAGCCGGCCUGAGAGGGUGACCGGCCACAUUGGGACUGAGAAACGGCCCAGACUCCUACGGGAGGCAGCAGUGGGGAAUAUGGCACAAUGGGCGGAAGCCUGAUGCAGCAACGCCGCGUGCGGGAUGACGGCCUUCGGGUUGUAAACCGCUUUCGCCUGUGACGAAGCGUGAGUGACGGUAAUGGGUAAAGAAGCACCGGCUAACUACGU